rnacentral:rRNA from 1 species
CCUACGGGAGGCAGCAGUGGGGGAUAUUGCACAAUGGGGGGAACCCUGAUGCAGCGACGCCGCGGGGGUGAAGGAGUAUUUCGGUAUGUAAAGGCCUAUCGGCAGGGAAGAAUUUAGACGGUACCUCUUGAAUAAGCCACGGCUAACUACGUGCCAGCAGCCGCGGUAAUACGUAGGUGGCAAGCGUUGUCCGGAUUUACUGGGUGUAAAGGGCGUGUAGCCGGGCUGACAAGUCAGAUGUGAAAUCCCGUGGCUCAACCACGGAACUGCAUUUGAAACUGUCGGUCUUGAGUAUCGGAGAGGCAGGCGGAAUUCCUAGUGUAGCGGUGAAAUGCGUAGUUAUUAGGAGGAACACCAGUGGCGAAGGCGGCCUGCUGGACGACAACUGACGGUGAGGCGCGAAAGCGUGGGGAGCAAACAGGAUUAGAUACCCUAGUAGUC